GGGUUCGGGGUGAUUCCGAAUGGCUAACGGGGAGUUUGGAACUUGGAAAUACAGCUGAUCAACUGCUGUUUCUGGUGUCGUCCGCACCUGCGAAGUAGGAGACACAGGUGCAAGACCACAUGAGCGACAUAGGAGUUGCAGAUGCGGCCAUAUGGGACUUUAGCUGGAACCGCAGGUGCGAGAAGGCGGGCGCAUCUGCGAGACCUGGGGCGCAGAUGCGGAAGUAAGGAAGUUGGUUGGUUCCCCAGAAGCGGACAAAGAUGCGCAGGUGCGCAAUCGCAAGUGCGAGAUUUUGCCGCGGAUGCGGAGUCUGGAUUUUUAAGUGACUUUCGCACCCGUGAUGGGAAUUCUGGAGGUGCGGCGUCGCAGAAGCAGGGAUCUGGACGCAGGUGCGAGUUCACUGGGUAGAAAGUAUAAAAAGGAGGCCUCGCGAAUUGUUGCUCAUUUCCACCAUUUUCAAGUUAGAUCUUGGAGCUUUUGGGGUGAUUUUUGAAGGGGAUUAAAGAGUUUUCACUGAGGUAAGUUGCUUGAGCUCUAUUAUCAUUAGCUACGGUAUUUUUCCAUUGAUUUCCCACUUAAUUAGUAGGAUUUUUGAAGUGAAAUAAGGGGUUAAGACUUGGGAUUUUGGAGAGAGUAAUUUGGAGAAUUGAGGGACCAAAUAAUGUCGGAUUUUGAUGAAAUUGGUAUGGGUAGACUCGUGAGUGAAUGAGCUUUCUAUUUUGUAAUUUUUGUCGGAUUUUGAGACGUGGGUCCGGAUGCCAGGUUUGAAUCGAUUUCGGGAUUUGUGUCUAAUUAAGUAAUUUUUCUUGUGAAAUUGGUUCCUUGGCGUAUAUUAAUUGUAUUGUAUUACUUUUGGCUAGAUUCGGGACGUUUGGAGGCUGAUUCGAGAGGCAAAGGCAUUGCGGAAUAGGAUUUUGCUCAAAUUGAGGUAAGUAAUAGUUGUAAAUCUGGUCUUGAGGGUAUGAAACCCCGAACAUUGUGUGACUAUUUUUGGAGGUGACACACAUUCUAGGUGACGGGCGUGUGGGCGUGCACCGAAGGGAUUGUCACUUGGUACGUCCCGUAGAAACUGUAAAGUUGAACAACAUGCUGUUAGCUCUAUGCUGCCUAUGUGUUAUGAAAGAUUGACUGUAAAUCAUGUUAAAAACUAUGUUUAGGCUAUAUGUUGGCAAUGUUGGGUCCCGUAGGGGUCACGUUACAUGUUGAAUUGUCUAUUAAAUGUUAUUUGUACUCAAUCAUAGUUUUUACUCGUAUAUCAUUUCUCAGUCUCUAUAUUCUAUCUGAUACUUCAUGUUAUUGUUGUUUGGGCUGAUUUUUCUGAUUUCUGAGAGCCCGAGCGGCUGGAGAGAUUAAUAACUGAGUGAGGCCGAGGGCCUGAUUGUGAGGAUAUUUAUGGGAUCAGUCUGAACACCGCAACAUGUUUUAUUGAUUUAUGACUGAGUGAGGCUGUGUGCCUGAUUGAUUUAUGCCAUGAUUGGUUUGUUAUAGCGCUUGGGCUGAAGGAGUCCCUUCGGAGUCUGCACACCCCCAGUGAGCGCAGGUACCUACUAAGUGCAAGUGUCGAGUGAUUGUGAGGAAUGAGUGAUUGUGAGGUUGGAGUGAUUGGGAGGACUGAGAGAUACUUAUAUUAUUGAUGUACACAAUUGCCUUAUAUCCAUAUUUUGAAGACUAUUGAAAGAUAUUUUUAUCUGAUUUUACUUGAACUUGCCUGAAAUAAACUGAUUUGAUUUAAUUUAUCGGAACUUGGGAAGCAUGACUAUUUUCCUUUCUAAAAUUAUUGAAAUGAACUAAAACUGUGUAACUCGUCACUAUCUUCAGUUCCUUAUUUAUUAUUGUUACUUACUGAGUUGGCGUACUGACGUUACUCCACGCACCUCGUGUGCAAAUCUAGGAUUUGUUGGACACGGUGAUUGUUGAUAGUACCCGUAGCUGGUCAUUGGAGAUUGCGGCAUAGCUGCCGGCGUUCGCAACCCUGCUUUCUUCUUCCCUAUCUUUCCUUAUUUACUGUAUUUGGAUUCUAGACUAUGUUUGUCUUGUUACUUUUGAAUCGGUUAUGUUAGAUGUUCAUGACUAGUGAUACCCCAAUGUCGGGCUUUAUUUCCGCGCUUAUGUUUUGGGGUUCACCCCGUUUUAUGUCAAAGAUUUCAUUUAUUUUGAAAGUCUUGUUUUAUUUCUGGUCAUUGUUGAAAGCGUUUUGGUAAUGUCGGCUGACCUAGUAUCAUCGAUAGGCGCCAUCAUGACGGGUCGUAUUUUGGGUCGUGACACAGCAUUACAUUGCUAACAAUAAUUAACUAAUAAUAAAAAUAACAAUUAACUAACAACAACAACAAUUAACUAACACCAAUAACAACAAUUAACUAACAACAACAAUUAACUAACACCAAUAACAACAAUUAACUAACAACAACAACAACAACAAUUAACUAACUAACAACAACAACAAUUAACUAACAAUGCUAAUAACAACCACAACAAUAACACUAAUAACAACAACAACAACAACAACAACAACAACACUAACCACAACAACAACUAUACAAAUGUUCAAUAACAAAAUAAUAUCAACAAUACAAUCAUCAUUCAAAACUAGUCCCAACUAAAUAUUGACAAGUUCAAUAUUAUGUUUAGCAAUACACACCAUUCAAUGAGUGGUUUUUAUUGCAUCAUCUCCAUCUUCACUACUAGAGCUUUCAUCGUCGGCAUGGUUCGAAGGAUCACGACGAGAAGGAUUAGCACAUGGGGAAGGCUUACGAGACCGGAGAAUGGGGAAAGCUCCACUAGCAAGAAGAUUGACCAGCUGACCUUGAAGGAGAUUAAAUUGUUCGUCCCCCUUUUCUAGCUGAACUUGAAGAGUACCAAAUUGUUCANCNNNNNNNNNNNNNNNNNNNNNNNNN
rnacentral:lncRNA from 1 species